GAGGAUACAGUCUUGGCUCCCACAGAGCCUGACAGGGUCGCUCCUCGCUCUGUUGGGACGUGGCCCCGUGAGAGCGAGGGCAAGGUUAACUAGGGAACACCUGUUAGCCUCUUCCUCCACAUACACCUGCAAACACUGUGGAGACAUCGGACCACCCACAGGAGGCAAGGGAAGGAAAAGGAAGAAUAACAACAGAAGCACUGCUGAAUUAACCUGAGUGCAGAAAAGAAAGUUCCAGAGAAUUUUUCAAAAUUUCAUUUCCAGAAUUGAUGGGAUUGCUUGAGUGUCUUUACAACAUGAUGGGUGAAUUCUCCUGGAGCAAAUGAUUCAAAUCCUCCACCACCUCACAACAGGACCAGGGACUUGCAGCCUCUGACUUGGUUUGCUCCCUGUGUUUCCGAGCUCUUCUGGGAAGGACCUGGUUUUCAGCUUGUUGUCCAGACUGGAUUGGCUAAGCGCUUCUGGAGAGAAGAGUUGAAUGAAUAUUUUAUUUAAUAUCCAACUUGUUCUUCUUAAGCACACACUAUCUUGCUGGAUAACAUUUUCCAAAAGUAUUGAAAAAUGUAAUUUAUCUGGAAAAAAAGCAGACUUAAGCAAAUAAUUUUCUGGGAGAUUUUGGUUCUGUAAAAAGCUAUACCAUUCUUCUUUUGGUUCCCUUUGUGUUUCUGCAGAUUAAUAUAGUUCACUUUUUUUUUCAUUUUGGGUUUUUGAUUUGGGGUUUACUUUAGUUCAGUUUCCUGAUUCAGUUCAUGUUUCUGUGAUUAAAGUAAAAUGGUGGUUAAAAAA